rnacentral:rRNA from 1 species
CCUACGGGGGGCAGCAGUGGGGAAUAUUGCACAAUGGGCGCAAGCCUGAUACAGCCAUGCCGCGUGUGUGAAGAAGGCCUUCGGGUUGUAAAGCACUUUCAGCGGGGAGGAAGGCGGUGAGGUUAAUAACCUCAUCGAUUGACGUUACCCGCAGAAGAAGCACCGGCUAACUCCGUGCCAGCAGCCGCGGUAAUACGGAGGGUGCAAGCGUUAAUCGGAAUUACUGGGCGUAAAGCGCACGCAGGCGGUCUGUCAAGUCGGAUGUGAAAUCCCCGGGCUCAACCUGGGAACUGCAUUCGAAACUGGCAGGCUAGAGUCUUGUAGAGGGGGGUAGAAUUCCAGGUGUAGCGGUGAAAUGCGUAGAGAUCUGGAGGAAUACCGGUGGCGAAGGCGGCCCCCUGGACAAAGACUGACGCUCAGGCGCGAAAGCGUGGGGAGCAAACAGGAUUAGAUACCCGUGUAGUC